AGAGUUUUAUGACUGGUAAACC
rnacentral:snRNA from 1 species